GCAGGUAUGGCGGAAUUGGCAGACGCGUACGGUUCAGGUCCGUAUGAGGGCAACUUCAUGCAGGUUCAAGUCCUGUUACCUGCACCA
rnacentral:tRNA from 1 species